rnacentral:rRNA from 1 species
UACGUAGGGUGCGAGCGUUAAUCGGAAUACUGGGCGUAAAGCGUGCGCAGGCGGUGAUGUAAGACAGGUGUGAAAUCCCGGGGCUCAACCUCGGGAACUGCAUUGUGAUGCUGCAUCGCUGGAGUGCGGCAGAGGGGGAUGGAAUUCCGCGUGUAGCAGUGAAAUGCGUAGAUAUGCGGAGGAACACCGAUGGCGAAGGCAAUCCCCUGGGCCUGCACUGACGCUCAUGCGAAGACGUGGGGAGCAAACAGG